UGGAGGCCUUGUAUGUUAGACAGUUGCUUUUUCUCACCUCAUAAUUCUGUCUGAACUCUGACAGACAGUCUAUCUCUCUUUGUUAGGGGUGUUUAGGUCAAAGGGGAGAAGGGUGAACGGGGUCUUCCCGGGACGUAUGGCAUCCCAGGGUUACCAGCGCGACCAGGUAGAACUGGACCCCCUGGUUCUCCUGGACAAAGGGGGCACCUGGAAUUCCUGGUGACAUGUGGCCUCCUGGUAAUACUUGACCGAAAGGACAGAGAGGAGAGAGAGGCGAGCCAGGAUAUGUUAUGGGAGGUAUGGAGGUUCUUCCAGGACGUAAAGGAGAACCUGGAUCCUCUUGCUUGAUUAAAAGGGUCCCCCAGGUGCUCCAGGGGUAUCAGGACCUCCAGGACUCCCAGGUUUGCCUGAGCCUCCGGGCUCUCCUGGACUCUCUAUUAAGGGCGAGACUGGAGAAUCUGGUUCGAAAGGACCACGUGGAAAACCAGGACCCAAAGGAGAAAAGGGGGAGCAUGGAAGGUCUACCAGGUUUACCAGGACAAGUGGGAGUAGAUGAACUUCCAGGACUUCCUGGUCAGAAGGGGGAGAAGGGAGAGGAAGGUAUCGGAAUUCAGGGUGUUCAAGGUCCACCUGGGCCAAAAGGAGAAAAGGGUAAUAAAGGACUACAAGGCCCAAUGCAGGAAACCAAGGAGUCCAAGGGAUCACAGGCCCUCGGGGGAAAAAGGGUUUUAAAGGAGAUCAAGGAGACAAGGGUGAACGUGGGGAAAUUGGGCCUAUCGGGCCUCUAGGAGUUGCAGUAAGUCCAUAACUUUUACCUGUUCACUUCCCUGAAAAAUAUAAAUAGCUGCUGUUGGAAAAGGGCUUCCCUGAAGCUGCUGGACGAAAGGGUGAUGAGGGGCAGCGUGGUCCUCCUGGUGACCCAGCUAAAGGGAUACUUGGUCCUCCUGGGAAAAAGGGUGCUAGGGGGGAUGUUGGACAAGUUGGGCCACCGGGACCACAAGGAAUCAAAGGAGAUCAAGGGGAUAAAGGGUCUGCCAGGACUGAAAGGAGAGAUGGGAUUGAGGGUGAGAAUCAACAACAAGCACAGAGAGACCCAUACCUUUACACAGUCUUGUCUUUCUAUCAUGUUGAAGACUUUCCAUUGACAUUUACUGUUUAUAUACUGAGAUCCCCUCAACCUCACACAAAACCUUUAGAUUUACAUUUAUUAUGUUUAUUAUUGAGUUUGUUUUUUGUUUUUAUAAUUCACCAGGAGAACCUGGAGAGAGAGGUGUCAAGAUAUUCUCUAUCUGCCUUUGUAUUUUAACCCUUCCAAGAUCCAGAGGGAAACAAAGGAGAGAAAGGCGAGCCGGGAAGGGCGGGACCACCGGGAGACACUCAAUUCAGGACUCCGAGGGAAGACAGGACGUCCUGGACCACCUAGUCCUUAAGGUAAACCAGGACCUCCACGGAAUUCACUACUUGGAUCUAGUAAAGAACAGAUGGUGUGGAUGGUUAACCAGGAAGGCCUGGAUCUAAGGGUGAACCAGGACAGACGGGGGACCCAGGACCAGUGAAAAGGAGAUCCUGGACCUGCUGGGAUAACUGGUAUGCCUGGUUUACCUGGGACACCUGGCAAACCUGGUGUUGAUGGGUAACGUGGAGUAGCUGGAAAAGAUAUAGAGAACAAGGAUAAAAGGGUGAUGAAGGGACAAAGGGUGAAAAAGGUGAACCUGGUGCAAAUGGAAAGGAAGGUCAAAAAGAAGAGCCAGGAUCUCCAGGCUUGCCAGGUCCUCCUAUUGUUCUCCAAGAGAUCAUUUGUUUGUUUGAGCUUAGGCAAACUUUAUUUUUAACAAUGACUGUUGGUAAAUUAUAUUUGUGUUUGUUCU
ensembl:lncRNA